rfam:Dipodomys ordii contig_25571, whole genome shotgun sequence.
GGGGAUGUGACUUAAUGGUAGAGUGCUUGCCUAGCAUGUAUGAAGCCUUAGGUUCAAUUCCUCAGUACCA